AAAUUGAAGAGUUUGAUCAUGGCUCAGAUUGAACGCUGGCGGCAGGCCUAACACAUGCAAGUCGAACGGUAACAGGAAGCAGCUUGCUGCUUYGCUGACGAGUGGCGGACGGGUGAGUAAUGUCUGGGAAACUGCCUGAUGGAGGGGGAUAACUACUGGAAACGGUGGCUAAUACCGCAUAACGUCGCAAGACCAAAGAGGGGGACCUUCGGGCCUCUUGCC
rnacentral:rRNA from 1 species